UACGUAGGGUGCAAGCGUUAAUCGGAAUUACUGGGCGUAAAGCGUGCGCAGGCGGCUUUGCAAGACAGAUGUGAAAUCCCCGGGCUCAACCCGGGAACUGCGUCCGAUACUGGGAGGCUUGAAUCCGGGAGAGGGAUGCGGAAUUCCAGGUGUAGCGGUGAAAUGCGUAGAUAUCUGGAGGAACACCGGUGGCGAAGGCGGCAUCCUGGACCGGCAUUGACGCUGAGGCGCGAAAGCCAGGGGAGCAAACGGG
rnacentral:rRNA from 1 species